rnacentral:lncRNA from 1 species
UCGGUCUUUACAAAACGACCCCUGACCCUUAUAUCAAAAACAACCACUUUUACAUAUGUAGCCUAUUUACAUGACUGGCCUAAUUGCAAGUAUAGCCUAUUUACACAACUAGUCUAAUUACAGACAUAGACAAACAAAUUACAAAAAUAGCCUAAUUGAUUGCAAGUAUAGCCUAUUUACACAACUAGUCUAAUUACAGACAUAGACAAACGAAUUACAAAAAUAGCCUAAUUGUAGAGGUAGCCUAUUUGGCUCAGAUAUGACUCUUUCAUUUAAUGACCAAAAUGGUCUACAUGUGAGUAGUAUCAUCAUUGCCUAUUUACAUAUCUCAACA